GAUCCUGGCUCAGAAUCAACGCUGGCGGCGUGCCUAAUACAUGCAAGUCGAACGCGAAAGUGGAGCAAUCCAUGAGUAGAGUGGCAAACGGGUGAGUAACGCGUGGGUGACCUGCCUUCGAGUGGGGGAUAACGUUCCGAAAGGGACGCUAAUACCGCAUGACAUCCUGCCUUUUAAGAGGUGGAGAUCAAAGCCGGGGACCGCAAGGCCUGGCGCUUGAAGAGGGGCCCGCGUCCGAUUAGCUAGUUGGUGGGGUAAUGGCUCACCAAGGCAACGAUCGGUAGCCGGCCUGAGAGGGCGGACGGCCACACUGGGACUGAGACACGGCCCAGACUCCUACGGGAGGCAGCAGUAGGGAAUUGUUCGCAAUGGGCGCAAGCCUGACGACGCAACGCCGCGUGGAGGAUGAAGAUCUUCGGGUCGUAAACUCCUUUCGAUCGAGACGAACGGCCCCUGGGCUAAUCACCAGGGGAGUGACGGUACCGAGAGAAGAAGCCCCGGCUAACUCCGUGCCAGCAGCCGCGGUAAUACGGGGGGGGCAAGCGUUGUUCGGAAUUACUGGGCGUAAAGGGCUCGUAGGCGGCCAACUAAGUCAGACGUGAAAUCCCUCGGCUUAACCGGGGAACUGCGUCUGAUACUGGAUGGCUUGAGAUUGGGAGAGGGAUGCGGAAUUCCAGGUGUAGCGGUGAA
rnacentral:rRNA from 1 species